AACGAACGCUGGCGGCAUGCCUAACACAUGCAAGUCGAACGAGACCUUCGGGUCUAGUGGCGCACGGGUGCGUAACGCGUGGGAACCUGCCCUUAGGUUCGGAAUAACUCCCCGAAAGGGGUGCUAAUACCGGAUCAUGUCUUCGGACCAAAGAUUUAUCGCCUUUGGAUGGGCCCGCGUUGGAUUAGCUAGUUGGUAGGGUAAAAGCCUACCAAGGCGACGAUCCAUAGCUGGUCUGAGAGGAUGAUCAGCCACACUGGGACUGAGACACGGCCCAGACUCCUACGGGAGGCAGCAGUGGGGAAUAUUGGACUAUGGGCGAAAGGCUGAUCCAGCAAGGCCGCGUGAGUGAUGAAGGCCUUAGGGCUGGAAAGCUCUUUUACCCGGGAUGAUAAUGACAGUACCGGGAGAAUAAGCUCCGGCUAACUCCGUG
rnacentral:rRNA from 1 species